rnacentral:rRNA from 1 species
GAUGAACGCUAGCGGGAGGCUUAACACAUGCAAGUCGAGGGGCAUCACGAGGUAGCAAUACUUUGGUGGCGACCGGCGCACGGGUGAGUAACACGUAUGCAACCUUCCCUGUACAGGGGGAUAACCCGGAGAAAUUCGGACUAAUACCCCAUGAUGAUAUUUAUGGGCAUCCAUUAAUAUUUAAAGCUCUGGCGGUACAGGAUGGGCAUGCGCGACAUUAGCUAGUUGGUAAGGUAACGGCUUACCAAGGCCACGAUGUUUAGGGGACCUGAGAGGGUUGUCCCCCACACUGGUACUGAGACACGGACCAGACUCCUACGGGAGGCAGCAGUGAGGAAUAUUGGUCAAUGGGCGCAAGCCUGAACCAGCCAUCCCGCGUGAAGGAAGAAUGCGCUACGCGUUGUAAACUUCUUUUCCAGGGGGAGAAUAAUCCUGUCGUGACAGGACUUGACGGUACUCUGGGAAUAAGCAUCGGCUAACUCCGUGCCAGCAGCCGCGGUAAACACGG